UGCUUCAUAACUUCCAGAAAAAUAGGUACUUUUUAACACAACUUUCACCAAAUAAUCACUUAUAUCCUGUAGAUUGAGUGUAUGUAAAAAUUUAGUGGGAAAAAAUUUUCCAAGUGGUUGGCGGUAGGAGUUUCAAAAAAUUCUCAGGACCCAACAUUUUCCCCCUCAUAACUUAUGAGGUGUGUUCAAAAAGUAUUCAACUUCAUUUUUUUCCUUCCAAAACUAAUGCCACAUGGGCAAAAUGAUUUGGGUGGGAGAUGAUGCCAUCCGUCUUACACAUGUGUGAAAGUUUUUGCACUGGUAGGCUGCAUCAUUUCCCAAUAGUUACAUUUACAGUACAAACGUAGUGCUUGGUCACUGGAUUUUCAUUUUCACUAAACACAUCGAGCAGAGGGAGAUAUUGCAUCAAGUUUUGCCAAAAACUUAGUGAUACUCAAGCUCAAACCAUCCAGAAGAUCCAGCAGGUCUUUGGUAAUAUUGUCAUGAGUAAAACUCAAAUCAAAGAGUGGUAUAACCACUUCAAAUAUGGCUAUACCUCAGUGGAGUGCAAAGCAUGCUCAGGUAGGCUGUCCACAAGCCAAAACGAGGAGCCAAUUGCAAAGGUUUGGUGAAUAAUCAUGAAAGACUGUUGUGUAACCAUCUAGGAAAUUGCUCACAAAGUGGGAAUAAGCACAGGAUCAGUGCAUUCCAUUUUAAUGGAAGAUUUGUUCAUGCGAAGAGUGUUGGUGAAAUUCAUCCAAAAGGUUUUGGUGGAGCAGCAGAAGCAAUCUGCAUAGAAAUCACUCAAAACAUGCCGGACUGUGCAAACCAUGACCCAGACUUCGUGAAGACCAUCAUCACUGGUAAUGAGAUGUGGGUUUACAGUCUCUGCUCAAUGUGUUCAGUUUUCUUACAUGAAAACAAAAAUCCUACACACUACACAUCUGUACUUGGAUUGUUUGCUGAGUGGACUGGAGCCAUGUGAAAUAAAGUGUCUUGCUCAAGGACACAAUGUGACACCAGGAAUCAAACUCAUGACCUUAUGAUUCUUAGCAAAACACCUUAGCCACUAAGUCACAAACCUUAAGCGACAAGUGUGACAAAAAUGUAGGUGACAUUUUCAAGGCAAAUAUUUUCUGUAUCUUCCAAAUAGUGUAGAUUACGAAAAAAUUGCCCCCAUAUCAAUAUCUGGUUGAAAAUUACUUUCAACAAAACUUUAUUAGUAUACAGUGAGUUUUCUGGGUAUUCUAAAAAUAUUUAAAAACAUUUUUGUGUUAACUUUCAUGAGAAUGACCCAUUUUCAGGAAAAGCAGAGGCAAAGAGGAAUCACAUUUUAAUCUGAAAGCUUGCAACAGAAUGGUUAUCCAAAAUAACCUUUCCCAUCAGUGACAAAAUAACCUUUGCCAUCAGCGACAUAUUACAGAUUUCAGCACUCUAAACAAUAAGACAAUAUUCCAAAAUUUAUAAUUAAAAAUAAAACUGAAACAUUUCUCUUUGAAAUUGUUUUGAAAAUAAUCUUUUAUUUUUCUCCUUUUGAAGGGCUUCUUUUUUCUCUCUUCAUUACAAUUUUAAAUUAUGCAUAAAUUUAAUACAAAUUUUCUUUGACUGAAAAAGUGUGAACAGAUUGUAUAUUUUCUGGUUAAAUAAUUUUCUGCAAUAUUUGGGGCAAAAAUUACAUCUUUUUUUUUAUACCAUCAGCUUGAAGUUGAUAGUUAUUUUCUUCAUGAAGAACAAAUUUAGAAUAGAAAUAACAAG
rnacentral:lncRNA from 1 species